rnacentral:rRNA from 1 species
GCUAUAAGAUGGCUAUGCGUUCUAUUAGCUAGUUGGUAUGGUAACGGCAUACCAAGGCAACGAUAGAUAGGGGUCCUGAGAGGGAGAUCCCCCACACUGGUACUGAGACACGGACCAGACUCCUACGGGAGGCAGCAGUGAGGAAUAUUGGACAAUGGAGGCAACUCUGAUCCAGCCAUGCCGCGUGUAGGAAGACUGCCCUAUGGGUUGUAAACUACUUUUAUAGAGGAAGAAACAGUUCCACGUGUGGAACUCUGACGGUACUCUACGAAUAAGGAUCGGCUAACUCCGUGCCAGCAGCCGCGGUAAUACGGAGGAUCCAAGCGUUAUCCGGAAUCAUUGGGUUUAAAGGGUCCGUAGGCGGGUCUGUAAGUCAGUGGUGAAAGUUUUCGGCUCAACCGGAAAAUUGCCAUUGAUACUGCAGGUCUUGAAUCAUUAUGAAGUGGUUAGAAUAAGUAGUGUAGCGGUGAAAUGCAUAGAUAUUACUUAGAAUACCGAUUGCGAAGGCAGAUCACUAAUAAUGUAUUGACGCUAAGGGACGAAAGCGUGGGUAGCGAACAGGAUUAGAUACCCUGGUAGUCCACGCCGUAAACGAUGGUUACUAGCUGUUCGGACUUCGGUCUGAGUGGCUAAGCGAAAGUGAUAAGUAACCCACCUGGGGAGUACGUUCGCAAGAAUGAAACUCAAAGGAAUUGACGGGGGCCCGCACAAGCGGUGGAGCAUGUGGUUUAAUUCGAUGAUACGCGAGGAACCUUACC